UACGGCUCAGUAACACGUCAUUAAUCUGCCCUUAGGUUGGGAAUAACCUCGGAAGACUGAGGCUAAUACCCGAUAGAAGAAAAAUUCUGGAAUGAAUUUUCUUUUAAAAGCAAUGCCUAAGGAUGAGAUGGCGGUUGAUUAGGUUGUUGGUGGGGUAAAGGCCCACCAAGCCUAUGAUCAGUAGGGGCCCUGAGAGGGGUAGCCCCGAGAAGGGCACUGAGAUACUGGCCCUAGCCCCACGGGGUGCAGCAGGCGCGAAACCUUUACAAUGCACGAAAGUGUGAUAAGGGGAUCCCGAGUGCUUAUGGUUUCCAUAGGCUUUUGUAUAGUGUAAAAAGCUAUGCGAAUAAGGGGUGGGCAAGACUGGUGCCAGCAGCCGCGGUAACACCAGCGCCCCGAGUGGGGACUGUGAUUAUUGGGCCUAAAGCGUUCGUAGCAGGUCGUGUAGAUGCUUUGUGAAAUUGUCCGGCUAAACCGAACAGCGUGCAGAGUAGACCGCGCGACUUGGGACCGGGAGGAGCCAGAAGAAUUUUGGAGGGAGCGGUAAAAUGCGAUAAUCUUCAAAAGACUAUCUGUGGCGAAGGCGUCUGGCCAGAACGGAUCCGACUGUGAGGAACGAAAGCUAGGGGAGCGAACCGGAUUAGAUACCCGAGUAGUCCUAGCCGUAAACGCUGUGUGUUAGGUGUUGCAUAUUCUUCAUGAAUAUGCAGUAUCGUAGCGAAGGCGUUAAACACACCGCCUGGGUAGUACGGUCGCAAGACUGAAACUUAAAGGAAUUGGCGGA
rnacentral:rRNA from 1 species